UGCCAGAAGAUUUUUAAAGUGCCUAUUUCUGCUUUAUUCACUUGUUGAUAUAACUUCACUCUAUGUGUGUUAGGUAGUAGAAUCAUAAAUUUUUUUCUUAUAUGGCUUACAGGAAAUGCGCCUUUGAUCUUUUGCCAAAUAGCUGGGAUUCUAUUUUUUCAACAGAAAGGUAUACAGGCACAAAAUCACCUCUACAUUGAAACGUAUUGCAAAGGGGGAAUCUGUAAAAAAGAACUUUGUUCCCUCAUAAUUUCAUGUGCUCAGAAGGGUAAUGGCGGUGUAAUGACAGCAGCCACUAGCACCCAGAAACCACAAACAGCAGGCACAAAUGCUUUCAACAUGGCCUCAUGGCUUUUUCCACUCCCACCUACAUUUGUUCUGCCAAGACCAGGCUCAAGUGCCUUUUCCAAAAAGAGAAGUUUGAACUAAUUUAAAGUUGUCUAGAUAUAUUUUGAAAGGGAUCACUCAACACCACUUAGCAUAUGGGCUGAUGCUUCUACAGCUUUUAGUGGCCAGCAGAUCCACUUUUCAAAUGAGCUUCUUGCUUCUCACAGAAUCAAGGAUCUUCUAUGGUACAAGUGAAACACUUAACAAACAAAAAUUGGUCCUCAGUUUCAGUUUUGCCUUCAUUAAUUAUUCCUUACAUAAUACAAAAAAUGCAACAAGUUAAUAUAUCUUACAUUCCUUGUGAAGAAGGGGUUAAAUUGAUGACCCAAGAAGACUUUUUAAAGGCCAUGGAUUAAUGUACUUUUAGUACUGUGAAUACCUCUACAGAGUAUUUUUGCUUCCUCUUCAUUAGAGGUAAGUAAUUCUGUGCUUUUAUAAUGUUACCCAGGUCUUCCCUUGAGGUUUUGAAAAUCCUAAUCUUAUUAAAACUUAUGUAAAUACCCUUGCCAUUAUUUCACGUCCUUUGUUUGGUUCCCAGGCAUGGAAUAUUUCCAUAGUAAAACUAAUCAAUUUACAUUGCUGGCCAUUUUAUUUACUAAAUAUAUAAACGCACAUUUUAAACAUUAUUCUGGCAAGAACUACGGCAUAGCUCUAUAUUAGUUAUCAAUUUAUUACUAUAUAUAUGUGUGUGUGUAUAUAUAUAUAUAUCCUCCACAGGCACUGUGUGCAUGCCUGUUUAUGACUUGCUUGGAAAAAAACCAUGGCAGAGAAGACACUGUAAUUUUGGAACAGUCAUUUCUAAGAAUGCUUGCUCCUUACCUCAACCCUCAAAAUCUGUUUGAUCAUAGGCUAUGUGAAGGAAAUUAGGCAAGUAUUUUGUAACUCCAAAAAUUAAACUUUUCUCUGUGUGUGCUGCUGAUGCUUCUACUGGAAGUUACUGCCAUAAAUGGCAAAUAAAAU
rnacentral:lncRNA from 1 species